rnacentral:rRNA from 1 species
AUGGUUCGUGUAUAUAUUUUACAGAAACGUGAAAUCAAAGUUGGGAAUAAAGUAGCCGGAAGACAUGGGAAUAAAGGGAUCAUUUCCAAAAUUUUGCCUAGGCAAGAUAUGCCCUAUUUGCAAGAUGGAACACCCGUUGAUAUGGUCUUCAAUCCCUUAGGAGUACCCUCCCGAAUGAAUGUGGGACAAAUAUUUGAAAGCUCGCUCGGAUUAGCGGGGGAUCUGCUAAAGAAACAUUAUAGAAUAGCACCCUUUGAUGAGAGAUAUGAGCAAGAGGCUUCAAGAAAACUUGUGUUUUCAGAAUUAUAUGAAGCCAGUAAAGAAACAAAAAAUCCAUGGGUAUUUGAACCCGAGUACCCGGGAAAAAGCAGAAUAUUUGAUGGAAGAACAGGCGACCCCUUUGAGCAACCUAUUCUAAUAGGGAAGUCCUAUAUCUUAAAAUUAAUUCAUCAAGUUGAUGAGAAAAUUCAUGGGCGUUCUACUGGGCCCUACUCACUUGUUACACAAGAACCGGUUAGAGGAAGAGCCAAGCAAGGGGGACAAUGA